UUCCUACGGGAGGCAGCAGUGGGGAAUAUUGCACAAUGGGGGAAACCCUGAUGCAGCGACGCCGCGUGAGUGAAGAAGUAUCUCGGUACGUAAAGCUCUAUCAGCAGGGAAGAAAAUGACGGUACCUGACUAAGAAGCCCCGGCUAACUACGUGCCAGCAGCCGCGGUAAUACGGAGGAUGCGAGCGUUAUCCGGAUUUAUUGGGUUUAAAGGGUGCGUAGGCGGUCUGUUAAGUCAGCGGUAAAAUUGCGGGGCUCAACCCCGUCGAGCCGUUGAAACUGGCAGACUUGAGUUGGC
rnacentral:rRNA from 1 species